AUUUGCCAACGUUCUAGAAUUACUGCCGUAUGUUGAGAAAUAAAUGAAAUAAUUCAGAAUACUACACCAGGAGUAGGUCUAUAAUUUAGCCAAGAGGAUCAAUAGCUUUUUUAUUUUUUAUAGCCUAGCUGUGGAUUGUGUGUAGUCCAAUCACAAGGCAUUGCCUACAGUCGGGAAUGAGUGGCAAAUCUGUCAGUGAACAGCAUGCAUUUGCAAUAUUUAAAAUGUCCAGGAAUGUCCACCAGAGCUGUUACCAGAGAAUUGAAUGUUAACUUCUCUACCAUAAUGUCAUUAUAGAGAAUUUUGCAGUACAUCCAACUGGCCUCACAACCGCAGACCGCGUAUACUCAGGGCUCCCGAGUGGCGCAGCGGUCUAAGGCACUGCAUCUCAGUGCUAGAGGCGUCACUACAGACCCUGGUUCAAUUCCAGGAUUUAUCACAACCGGCCGUGAUUGGGAGUCCCAUAGGGCGGCGCACAAUUGGCCCAGUGUCUUCUGGGUUAGGGUUUGACCGGGAUAGGCCAUCAUUGUAAAUAAGAAUUUGUUCUUAUUAAUUGAUUUGCCUAGUUAAAUAAAGGUAAAAUACAAUUAAAAUAACCACAUCAGCCCAGGACCUCCACAUCUGGCUUCUCCACCUGCGGGAUCGUCUGAGACCAGCCACCCAGACAGCUGAGGAAACGGAUUAGUAUUUAUGUCUGUAAUAAAUCCUGUUUGCCGGGCCUGGCUCCCAAGUGGAUGGACCUAUGUCCAUCCACGGCUGAACCCCUGCCCAGUCAUAUAAAAUCCAUAGAUUAGGGCCUAAUGAUUAUAUUUCAAUUUACUAAUUUCCUUAUGACCUGUAAUUCAGUAAAAUCAGUGAAAUUGUUGCAUGUUGCAUUUAUAUUUCUGUUCAGUAUAGAAUUGUGGGAUAGCGCAGUGUCAUGACGUUGGCCUGGGGGUAGGUUUAUGACAGUCAUAAAUACCUCUCCCCCUCUUUUUCCUCGAUCUACCCUACUGAUGUGACAUUUGAAAAUCCUUUGGUUAACAUAGAGAUUCUG
ensembl:lncRNA